rnacentral:SRP_RNA from 1 species
GCUGGGCAUGGUGGCUCAUGCCUGUAAUCCGAGCUACUUGAGAGGCUGAGGCAGGAGAAUCGCUUGAACCCAGGAGACAGAAGUUGCAGUGAGCUGAGAUCACACCACUGCACUCCAGCCUGGGUGACAGAGUGAGACUCUGUCUCAA